AAUGAACGCUGGCGGCGUGCUUUACACAUGCAAGUUGAGCGAGGCGCGGGGGCAACCCCGCAGUCGAGCGGCGAACGGGUGAGUAACGCGUGGAUUAUCUGCCCUGAGGUGGGGAACAACCAGGGGAAACUCUGGCUAAUACCGCAUAACACCGUGAGGUCAGAGGGGGCUCGCAAGGGCUCUCGCCACAGGAGGAGUCCGCGUUCGAUUAGCUAGUUGGUAGGGUAAUGGCCUACCAAGGCGACGAUCGAUAGCCGGCCUGAGAGGGUGAUCGGCCACACUGGAACUGAGACACGGUCCAGACUCCUACGGGAGGCAGCAGUGGGGAAUUUUUGCGCAAUGGGCUAACGCCUGACGCAGCAACACCGCGUGGAGGAUGAAGGUCUUUUGGGAUUGUAAACUCCUGUCGACCGGGAAAAAGCAAACUCGACCUAAUACGUCGGG
rnacentral:rRNA from 1 species